CACACAAAACAUAUUAUUGAAGAUUCAAUGCGCAAAGUAACAACUUGUGUCUAGUUUAUAUCAAAUUGAUAAGAAAAACAGAUCGACAUGGUCAUACAUUGAAAAACACACAUUGAUUUUAUACACAUAAAUAUUUAUUUAUAAAUUAUUUGCGUGUUUUAUGCAGAAACAAAUGUUGCGCUAAAUGUAUACUGGAAUUGCAGAAAGCUGAUCUGGGCCAGUCAUCUACAUAAACAAGUAUCACAAAACGUGCAGUUUGACACAGUGACCCGAUAUAAAAACUGACUCUGUCUGGGAUUGUUUUAACCAAACUUGACUAUAGAGAAAAACAGAAAACAUUUUCGAUUCAUGAGGGCAUUUCAAGUUCGUGACGGAAGUUAAUAUCCGAAACAGGAAUACUAGCAAUUAUAGAAAAUUAAUAAAACUGCGCAUUGUAUCCUGUUUGUAUAAAUACUGCCUGGAAAUCAGUGAUCGGUAUGUCAAUAACAAGUGAUUAUUGAAUUGAACCAGUAAAAACUCCUCAUGAUGAAUAAAGUCUGUUUGGCAAUUUGCGUGGUGUUUCUAUGUGUUGUCCUGGUCAACUUAGCUCAGGCUCAGAUAGAGCAAACCGGUAAAGCUGGCCAAAAUAUGAUGGAUACUGCGAUUGGAGCAGCUUCAAAGACAGCUGAGUAGGACAAAAUGCUACAAAACAAAUGAAGGAUGCUGUAUCCGGAUUUUCAGGUCGUUAAAAAUGUAUUUGCUUGAUUGUUAUAGAAGGAUUCAACUGAAAUAAAACAUGUGCAUAUAGA